CUCAGGAUGAACGCUAGCUACAGGCUUAACACAUGCAAGUCGAGGGGCAGCAUGGUCUUAGCUUGCUAAGGCCGAUGGCGACCGGCGCACGGGUGAGUAACACGUAUCCAACCUGCCGUCUACUCUUGGACAGCCUUCUGAAAGGAAGAUUAAUACAAGAUGGCAUCAUGAGUCCGCAUGUUCACAUGAUUAAAGGUAUUCCGGUAGACGAUGGGGAUGCGUUCCAUUAGAUAGUAGGCGGGGUAACGGCCCACCUAGUCUUCGAUGGAUAGGGGUUCUGAGAGGAAGGUCCCCCACAUUGGAACUGAGACACGGUCCAAACUCCUACGGGAGGCAGCAGUGAGGAAUAUUGGUCAAUGGGCGAGAGCCUGAACCAGCCAAGUAGCGUGAAGGAUGACUGCCCUAUGGGUUGUAAACUUCUUUUAUAAAGGAAUAAAGUCGGGUAUGGAUACCCGUUUGCAUGUACUUUAUGAAUAAGGAUCGGCUAACUCCGUGCCAGCAGCCGCGGUAAUACGGAGGAUCCGAGCGUUAUCCGGAUUUAUUGGGUUUAAAGGGAGCGUAGAUGGAUGUUUAAGUCAGUUGUGAAAGUUUGCGGCUCAACCGUAAAAUUGCAGUUGAUACUGGAUAUCUUGAGUGCAGUUGAGGCAGGCGGAAUUCGUGGUGUAGCGGUGAAAUGCUUAGAUAUCACGAAGAACUCCGAUUGCGAAGGCAGCCUGCUAAGCUGCAACUGACAUUGAGGCUCGAAAGUGUGGGUAUCAAACAGGAUUAGAUACCCUGGUAGUCCACACGGUAAACGAUGAAUACUCGCUGUUUGCGAUAUACUGCAAGCGGCCAAGCGAAAGCGUUAAGUAUUCCACCUGGGGAGUACGCCGGCAACGGUGAAACUCAAAGGAAUUGACGGGGGCCCGCACAAGCGGAGGAACAUGUGGUUUAAUUCGAUGAUACGCGAGGAACCUUACCCGGGCUUAAAUUGCAGAUGAAUUACGGUGAAAGCCGUAAGCCGCAAGGCAUCUGUGAAGGUGCUGCAUGGUUGUCGUCAGCUCGUGCCGUGAGGUGUCGGCUUAAGUGCCAUAACGAGCGCAACCCUUGUUGUCAGUUACUAACAGGUUCCGCUGAGGACUCUGACAAGACUGCCAUCGUAAGAUGUGAGGAAGGUGGGGAUGACGUCAAAUCAGCACGGCCCUUACGUCCGGGGCUACACACGUGUUACAAUGGGGGGUACAGAGGGCCGCUACCACGCGAGUGGAUGCCAAUCCCCAAAACCUCUCUCAGUUCGGACUGGAGUCUGCAACCCGACUCCACGAAGCUGGAUUCGCUAGUAAUCGCGCAUCAGCCACGGCGCGGUGAAUACGUUCCCGGGCCUUGUACACACCGCCCGUCAAGCCAUGGGAGCCGGGGGUACCUGAAGUGCGUAACCGCGAGGAGCGCCCUAGGGUA
rnacentral:rRNA from 1 species